rnacentral:lncRNA from 1 species
UAGCUCAAUGAAUGUCGGGAAGUAAUUAAAUAAACAUAAGCAAACAACUCAACAUCUCAAAAUAUCACAAGGGAAACAAUGAAAGACUCCUCAACUAUUACUGUCUAUGAAGCCCCUAAAUACUACGAUAGAUGUCGGGACAAGACCCAUGACAUCCUAACAGCUGAAAUAUAAAUGUGGAACCCUCCGGCAUCAAGGAGGCUAACCAAAGCUAACUGUAAUGCAAA